rnacentral:rRNA from 1 species
GGGUCAGUAGGUUGGUCGUGCCACCGGUACGUACUGGUCUCACUGAUUCCUCCUUCCUGAACAACCGUAAUGCCAUUAAUUUGGUGUUGCGGGGAAACAGGACUGUUACCUUGAAAAAAUUAGAGUGUUUAAAGCAAGCUAACGCUUGAAUACAUUAGCAUGGAAUAAUGAAAUAGGACGAUCGAUCCUAUUUUGUUGGUUUCUAGGAUUGACAUA